GAGGGUAUAGCUCAAGUGGUCGAAUGCAUGCUUAGCAUGCACGAGGUCCUGGGUUCAACCCCCAGUACUCCCU
rnacentral:tRNA from 1 species